CAAUCAUAUCAUGUUGAAACCCCAGUUCCCAUGCAAUCACCGAAGUUAAGCAAUAUCGAGCCUGGUCAGUAACUAGAUGAGUAACUGCUUGAGAAUACCAGGUGCUGUUA